UAGAGAGAGUUCAAGAGUACGUGAAACCGUUCAGGGGUAAACCUGUGAAACCCAAAAGAUCGAAUGAGGAGAUUCAUCGUCAGCGUAUUUGGUAUUAAUGCAAGUUAUGAUGUAAAUUAUUUGCUCUUUCGGGAACAAUAUUUAUACAUAUUUGUAUUAUUUUAUUGCUAAAUAUCGUCGGCGUGCACUUCUCCUCUAGUAGAACGUCGUGACCCGUUGGGUGUUGAUCUACGGCCCAAUUGAUAGCUUUUGAUAACGCUUUAAUCGGCGAUUAUUAUUAAAAAUCAUUGGUGUAUUCUGAUCAUCUGCCCGACGGUAUUCGUACGAUAUUGAGUCGCAAUUAAUUAUAUAAUUUGCGUUAAACCCGUCACAAGCCCGGAUAAUUUUAUGGUAGUAUGGAUCUAAUGCCAUCGCUGUAAUUGUCUAGCUGUUGGUUGUUGCGGUGUUCUUUAACUGGCUCAAAUAAAUUAUCGGU
rnacentral:rRNA from 1 species